rnacentral:rRNA from 1 species
AACGCGAAGAACCUUACCAACCCUUGACAUCCUAGGACAACUCCAGAGAUGGAGCCUUCCUUCGGGACCUAGUGACAGGUGCUGCAUGGCUGUCGUCAGCUCGUGUCGUGAGAUGUUCGGUUAAGUCCGGCAACGAGCGCAACCCACAUCCUUAGUUGCCAGCAGUUCGGCUGGGCACUCUAGGGAAACUGCCCGUGAUAAGCGGGAGGAAGGUGUGGAUGACGUCAAGUCCUCAUGGCCCUUACGGGUUGGGCUACACACGUGCUACAAUGGCAGUGACAAUGGGUUAAUCCCCAAAAACUGUCUCAGUUCGGAUUGGGGUCUGCAACUCGACCCCAUGAAGUCGGAAUCGCUAGUAAUCGCGUAACAGCAUGACGCGGUGAAUACGUUCCCGGGGUCUUGUACACACCG